rnacentral:rRNA from 1 species
AACCAUCGUAAGCUGGAGGGAUCGAAGAUGAUUAGAUACCAUUGUAGUUCUAGCAGUAAACUAUGUUGAAUCAUAGAUAUAUUUUGAUAUAUAUUUAUGUAGAGAAAUUAAGAUUAUAUUGACUCUGGGGAUAGUAUGAUCGCAAGAUUGAAAAUUAAAGAAAUUGACGGAAGAAUACCACAAGGAGUGGAUUGUGCGGCUUAAUUUGACUCAACGCGGGGUAAUUUACCAGGUAUAACAUGAUAUAAUAUUUUAUCAUGAUAGUGGUGCAUGGCCGUUUCCAAUGGAUGCUGUGAAGUAAUGAUUAAUUUCAACAAGAUGUGAGACCCUCAUAUAGACAGAUGUAGUGAUACAUAUGAAGGAGAGGAUUAAAACAGGUCCGUUAUGCCCUAAGAUAAUCUGGGUUGCACGCGCAAUACAAUAAUAUUUGAUAUUAUAAGGGAUAAUAUAAUGUAAGAUAUAUUUGAACAUGGAAUUGCUAGUAAAUUUUAUUUAAUAAGUAGAAUUGAAUGAGUCCCUGUUCUUUGUACACACCGCCCGUCGCUAUCUAAGAUGGUAUUAUCUAUGAACAAAUUUAUAGAAGUGAAUAGAUAGUACUAGAUCUAUAUAAGUCGAAUCUU